rnacentral:rRNA from 1 species
UACGGAGGGUGCAAGCGUUAUCCGGAUUCACUGGGUUUAAAGGGAGCGUAGGUGGGCUGGUAAGUCAGUGGUGAAAUCCCCGAGCUUAACUUGGGAACUGCCAUUGAUACUAUCAGUCUUGAAUACUGUGGAGGUUAGCGGAAUAUGUCAUGUAGCGGUGAAAUGCUUAGAUAUGACAUAGAACACCAAUUGCGAAGGCAGCUGGCUACACAAUUAUUGACACUGAGGCUCGAAAGCGUGGGGAUCAAACAGG